rnacentral:rRNA from 1 species
UACGGAGGGUGCAAGCGUUAUCCGGAUUCACUGGGUUUAAAGGGUGCGUAGGUGGCUUGGUAAGUCAGUGGUGAAAGCCCGGAGCUCAACUCCGGAACUGCCAUUGAUACUGCUUAGCUUGAAUCAGGUCGAGGUGGAUGGAAUAUUACAUGUAGCGGUGAAAUGCUUAGAUAUGUAAUAGAACACCGAUUGCGAAGGCAGUUCACUAGGCCUGUAUUGACACUGAGGCACGAAAGCGUGGGGAU